CUCCUGUCAUUGUUUGUUGCCCCUAAUUCAAGUGGAGUUUCUAGCAAGUUUGUGUAUAGUGCAAUAGUUGACAUUGACAGAAUUUCUCAGUAUGAUUGGUGUCUACUAUGUCUGAGCUACAUGGUUUGUUCAAUAAAGAAAACAAGGCUGAAGAACACAGUGAGCAAAGAAAUCAUUCCUAGUGGAAGCAAGUUACUUAUGGUGAUAUCCUACUUUGAAUUCCUGAUAAUAACUGAAAUCAAGAUGCCGACUAGAAACAAGACUACCAUUAUGGUAAGGAAACAUGCUAAAUUCAUAUAUGGCACUUGAUGUUGUGCAUGGCAAAAGAAAUGAGUAUGGAAGACUACCGAUAAAACACAUGUCCUCAACUCCAUUCAUUGAUUGAAAUUACAUCUGCCUGAAGAAAUUGCGGAGUAUAUUGAAUCCAAAUUCUCAGAUAUUAGUCUAACACAAGAUAAAAUCAUUCUUCAAUUGAAAGCUCAAGAUUUCUAUAGAAAUAUCAUUCGGAACACAACUCCUACCAUGAAAACCUAUGCAGAUGACAUCCAUUCUUCAUUUCUGAAAACCAUGACAACUUCCAGCAGCCAAAAUGUGCAAAUUAAACCAACACUUUCAGAGAACACAUUCAAAGUUCCUAUGUCUAAAGAAUUGUUGGCUAUACAAUCACCUCGCAUAUUCCCAAUGCUAGAUGUUCCAACAAUAAUUGAUAAAGAUAAACGAGUCAACAUACAUGAAAUUCUUGAUUCAUUGGUCAAUGAUUUCCCGCAGUCUAUCAACAUAACAAGUACCAAUCUCUCUCUCUCUCUCUUUGUAUGGUAAUCUACCAUCUUUUGAACAACUUGCUUGCCCGAAGCUUUUUGUCAAGAGAUCAGUUCCAAAAGUAACACCCAGCAUUGAUGUUUCAGCACUGUUACAUCAUGUUUUUCUUCUCUAUAGCUGUUACUCAAUAUAUUUUUUCUCUGUGCCCAAAUAAAUAAUGAAAUAACUCGUACCAUAUAUUUUUUCUCUUGUACACAAUACUUGUCUGAAACAACAUCCCCAGAGAGAAGAGUAGAAGAAACAAAGUUCAGCUUUCCACCCUUCAGAUUCUUAUUACCAGGAGAGCGCCUGGAAUGUCAUUUCUCUUUACCAUUUCUCGUUUUUUUACAUUGAUUAUUUACAGGGUGCAGAUUAUUGUUCUAACUGUUUCUGUACUGCUUUCUUCUUUUCCAACCAGAUCUUGUUGAGCCUAAACUAAAUAAAGGUAGGUUGCUUCCUGAAAUCACAUAUCCAGUUGACAAGUCUCUCAACAGUACACCGCAUGGCAAUUCAAAUGGAGAAGCUGGUUCAAGCACUCAAUACGCACAAUCAGAUUAUCCUUCCUUUGAUGUAAUUACCAAUUCAAUUGACAUAGUACAGAAAGUUCCUUCUAAUUCUCAAAGAAUUGCAUCAGAACAAUCUAAAACUUUUGCAUCUCCUUCGUCUACUCAGUUCAGCCUCCCACCAAGUCAAUAUAACAACCAACAUCAUAAUUAUGCCAACACCAUUGUUCUUCCAAGUGAGAGCCCAAUAAGGAUGAUGGACUUCCUGUCACCAAAAGUAUACCCAAGCACUAUUGGCACACCCCUUGAAGAUCCUUUGUUAGUUCAAGCACUUGAACAACAUGAAACACAUUCCAGUAAGUUCUAUAAACCAGAAGGUUCAUCUUGGCAGCAACGCGUAAACAAUUCUUUCAAAUCUGGGACAGUAGUAAUCCAAGAUCAGAAGAAUGGAAAUAAGGAGGUCAUUUUUUCAACUGGAAUAGAUAAUGCCUUCUACCAAUCAUUGGUUGGACAUCUUUCCAAGUUAACCUACAGGAUCUAUGAGAUUGAACGAGUUUGGGUAGAACAGAAAACUAUAACACUAUCAUUCAAGACUGGCGGUUGGAUAAAUCCUCGGGUUGUUGACUAUUUUUCAAAACUAAGGAAUAAAGACCAGCUCAACCGAGGAAUAAAAGGCCUGCUUCCAAACAGCAAUUUAGUAGAACAUAUAGUUAGCAUUGAUGACAUGGUACGACUCAGGAAUUUCCCUCCUUAGUAUCUUAGCAAGUACAAAGGUCUCGGAAUGGAAGGUUUCUCCAAUGACGAUUUACAAGCUCUACGAGAGAAAUUUCUUUUUGAGAUCAUAACUUGCAAGGACAAUGAAAUCCAGCUUCCAUUCGUAACUUCUUUCCUACAGGGACAUGGGUUUCCGCAUUUUCAAGUGAAGCAUUCAACAUGAUUUCUGCAUAUGAACAAAGCUUUUAGGCAUUCAUUGCCAUUCGUUACUGUCAAGUAUAAUGGAAUCUGCACUAGAAGAAGUUCUCCUGAAUUUGCACUGAAAG